rnacentral:rRNA from 1 species
UAACUGCGCGUCAUAGUGUGAACUGCAGGACACAUUUGAACAUCGACAUUUCGAACGCACAUUGCGGUCCGUGGAGAAACAUCCAGGACCACUCCUGUCUGAGGGCCGGCUGUAUAAAAUCAUAUGCCACACUGUUCGUCUGUGCGACGAACAAUUGACGGUUCCGGACGGUGUCGCGCUUGUGUUUGGGUACGUCACGUCCCUGCCGCGCCUCCCGUGCGGUCCGUUCAAAUAUUAUGAGACAUAAAUGUAAUAUAACGUUACGUGUCGUGUGGUGUGUACGGUAGCGCGCUCGCGUCGGCGACGUGCGCCGCUCCCCGCCGACGCUCCGUGAAGGUGAAAAAUUUGCGAGAGCGAUUAUCGGCGAGCGGGGCGUGCACGCGCGUCGAACUGUGUCGUCGACGCGCAGAACGCGCUGCGUGUACACUCUUUUUCCUAACGAAGAAAACACCACCGUCGAAAACACUGUUAUAUUAUUUGAAAUGAUAGACAGUAGGCGGACUCGACGUCCGAAGGGCGCGUCGUCGACGCCGACGUACCGAUUGAUUUCGGUCGCGGAGGCGGAGUCGUUGCGCUGACGGAUAUCGCGUCUGCCUCAAUUUUUUAUCGUUGGCCUCAGAUCAGGGAGGAUCACCCGCCGAAUUUAA